rnacentral:rRNA from 1 species
UACGUAGGGUGCAAGCGUUGUCCGGAAUUAUUGGGCGUAAAGAGCUCGUAGGCGGUCUGUCGCGUCGGCUGUGAAAACUCGGGGCUCAACCCCGAGCCUGCAGUCGAUACGGGCAGACUAGAGUGCGGUAGGGGAGACUGGAAUUCCUGGUGUAGCGGUGAAAUGCGCAGAUAUCAGGAGGAACACCGGUGGCGAAGGCGGGUCUCUGGGCCGUAACUGACGCUGAGGAGCGAAGGCCAGGGGAGCAAACGGG